AGUAAAUAGUGCUGCACAGGUGAUCCACCAAACGGAAUACCGAUGCACGCUGACAACAUCAAACAACUAAAUAAGUAUGAAAUCAGCACCCAUGAACCACCACCGCCCUGUGUGGUGGUUACUGAACUGGUAUCGGUGAUAAAUAAUUAAAUCAGUGUCCGACAGAAAAACUCCACACCCGAUUGUGAAUCACACAGAUUUAUCGACAGAACGCGUGCAGGUUCUUAUCGGCGACUAAGAUAGGCGUGCAGAUUAGAUGUAGGUCGCACACUUAACCGUUUGUUCGAUUCACUACUAUAGCGCUGGACUGGUAGUUUUCAGUCGGUACCAUCACGCACGGAACCAACAUCGAUGGAACGGCAAGUAGAAUGACCUUGCAGGAGCGGUUACAGAUUUUUGAUUGUUUGUGAUUCUGCAUCGGUAUAGUGAGCUGAAGUUGUCGAGUGUUCAUCCGUUUAAAUUUGUUUGUCUGCACGGAAGACGUGAGAAAUUAGCCAACGAUCCCACCGGUAACAGAAAUGGGCGGUUGUUGCAGUAGUUCUGACUCGCAGGACAUCACAACGGUUCCGGAUCGUCCCGGUCUGCCGGAGGAGGCACCGAGCGGGGUUCCCUACGGAUUGAGCGACGGAGGCGGCGGUGCCGGUGGAGGCACCGAUCAAAGCGUGAAUGGCUGAAGAUGGCGGUGAUUGCGUCAUCCGGAAGCCCAAGUACAGUGGUAUAUGAAUGGUUUGUUGUUUUAUUCCCCCGUUGUUAUUCUGUUCCGCCCAGAGUCGCAAGUUGUUUUUGUUCUUUUCUUUUGGAAAUAUUAAAGCUGUUUUGAGUUGA